UGGGGAAUUUUGGACAAUGGGGGCAACCCUGAUCCAGCCAUUCCGCGUGAGUGAAGAAGGCCUUCGGGUUGUAAAGCUCUUUCGGCAGGAACGAAACGGUGGUCCCUAAUACGGGCUGCUAAUGACGGUACCUGAAGAAGAAGCACCGGCUAACUACGUGCCAGCAGCCGCGGUAAUACGUAGGGUGCGAGCGUUAAUCGGAAUUACUGGGCGUAAAGCGUGCGCAGGCGGUUAUGUAAGACAGGUGUGAAAUCCCCGGGCUUAACCUGGGAACUGCGCUUGUGACUGCAUAACUCGAGUGUGGCAGAGGGGGGUGGAAUUCCACGUGUAGCAGUGAAAUGCGUAGAGAUGUGGAGGAACACCGAUGGCGAAGGCAGCCCCCUGGGUCAACACUGACGCUCAUGCACGAAAGCGUGGGGAGCAAACAGG
rnacentral:rRNA from 2 species